CAACAGCAUGGGCCUUUACUUCGGUCCAUCUAGAAACCGAUGGGAAAUCUCUCCCAUUAUUUCCCCUAAAACCCUAGCCUCCUUUCCAACACAAUAUUUCGUUUUUCUUCUUCUGCCGAAACGAACCAAACAAACCCGCAACCUCCUCCCUUCUCCGACGACCCUCCCUUCUCUGACGACCCUACCUCCGCCGACGACCACCAUCCUGCCGUCACCACCCUUCUUCUCUUCAAACUCAGUCACAUAACAUUCCAUAAAUUAUCCACACCAUUUUAUCAACCUUCAUCUUCUACCAAACUCCAUUAAUAACAACAUACAGUUCCAUAACAGUUCAAAAAAAGUAAGAAAACGGAUCGUACGCCUUUCCUUGAAUCCGCAACCACCGGAAAACCCACUUCACCGGACCUCCCGCGAGUUGAUAACUCGCCGGAGUCGCCGCUACAGAUUCAAAAGUUUACUACACGGUUUCCAUCAAUCUAUGAAGUACAAUCAUUCAUUGCUGCUUUGAAGGUGAUCCUAAAAGAUGACAAGGACCCUAAACCUUUAAAUAUUGACUUUGGUUCCGAAAUUUCGUCUCAGUCAGAAUUUAUGUCAACAAACAAACACUCUUACAGAGAUAUAUAUGGAAGAUUCUUCCUUCCAAGGUUUGGAGCUUGGCUUAGAACCUACACUUCCAUAUUUGAGUCCGCUACUAGUUGGAGAGAAGUUUCUAAUUGGUGCAAAUCUUGCAUCUGCAGGAAUUGGAAUUCUCAAUGAUACUGAAUUUCAGUUUGGAACUAAGUUUAUAAUAAUAGACAAAAAUAUUGAGAGCAAGAGUGAAAUGACUUACCUACGGCAAGGGGGUUAUCGCCAGUUUAUUGUUGAGGUGUUGCUUGAAGAAUGAGAGCUUCUUGUGAUGAAGGCUUGAACAAAUCUUGCUUCCCAAUGACAGGCAUGAAUUCUUCUCGUGGAUGCAUGUUGGUAUUUUAAGUGCGCUAAAGGACUUAAAUGGUUGGAUAUUUGUUGCUUUGUUAUUUUGUAGUAGUCCAUUGUGUGUAAACUUUCUAAUAAUUUUGUACACUUGUGUAUCCUAGAUUAAUACUUUUGUAAAAUUUGAAGAAUAUAUAUUAACUAUUUGGUGCAAUGAAAUUAUA